UAACAAUGCCAGUCGAGCGGUGACCCCCGCUUGCGGGGCGGAUCGAUGGCGAACGGUGAGUACCCUCUAUCCACCUGCCCUGGACUCUGGGAUAGUUGCUGGAAACUGCGCCCAAUACUGGUAUGUUCCUCUAUCGCAUGGUGGGGGUUGGAAAGAUUUUUUGGUCUGGGAUGGGCUCCCUGCCUAUCAGCUUGUUGGUGAGGGAAUGGCUCACCUAGGCGUCCACGGGGAGACUGACUGACAGGGCGACCUCCCACGCUGGGACUGAGACGCGAACCUUACUCCUAGGGGACGCACCUGAGCCGAAUAUUGCACGAUGGGGAGAAACGUGAUGCGGCUGCGCCGCUCGAUGGAUGACGACCAUCGGGUUGUAAACCUCAUAUAACAACGAAGAUACCAAAGUGACGGCACUUGCAGAAAUACCACCGGCUAUCUACUUGCCAGCAAUCGCUGGAAUACGUACGGCCCAAGCGUUAUCCGGAAUUAUUGGGCGAAAUCCCUCGCUCGCGUCUGGAACUGCCUGCUGUGAAAUCCCGAGGCUCAACCUCGGGCCUGCAGUGGGUACGGGCAGACUAGAGUGCGGUAGGGGAUAUUGGAAUUCCUGGCGUAGCGGUGGAAUGCUCACAUAUCCAUAACAACACCGAUGGCGAAGGCAGAUCGGUGGGCCGUAACUGACGCUGACGAGCGAAACGGCGCCGAGCACACAGGCUUAUAUACCCUGGUAAUCCACCCCGUAAACGUUGGGAACUACUUGUGGGGUCCUUUCCACGGAUUACCACGACGCAGCUAUCGCAUUAAGAUCCCCGCCUGGGGAGUACGGCACGCAAGGCUAAAACUCGUAGGAAAUGACGAGGACCCGCACAAACCGUACAACAUGUUGAUUAUUCGAUGCAACGCGUAGAACACUUACCACGGCUUGACAUACUCGAUCAAACACUAGAAAUACGGGACUCUUUGACACUCGUGAACGAGAGGUGCAUGGAUGUCCUCAACUCAGCGUCAUGCGAUGUUGUGAUAAGUCCCGCUACCAUCGCCACCCCUCAUGCGAUCUGGCGAGCACAAAUGG
rnacentral:rRNA from 1 species